AUGUUUUUAGCUAAGGGAACUAUUUUAGCGUUGGUGGUGGCCGCCGUUUUGGUCGAGGGAUCACCCGUCAACUCGGAUGCCUCUGAGACAACCACUAAACGAUUUGUAGCAGGUGGAUUAACGGAUGUGGCCACGGAUGACGAGAAGGUCCAAGAGCUCGCCAAAUUCUCCCUCACCCAGUUACAAAGCUCUCUAGGAACUAGCGAAAAGCCCGAAAUUGUCAAAAUUACCAAAGCUUCUAAGCAGGUCGUUUCUGGAAUGUUGUACCACAUCACAUAUGAAGUUUCUGUUCCAAACGGAGGCAAGAAAUCUUGCACAGUGAAAGUGUGGGAGCAGCCCUGGAUCUCUCCCGAUCCUAAAGUAACCGACGUCACAUGCGAUGAUAAACCAUCAAGCUGAGAAAAGCCAUCAACUAUCUUAAUGACAAAUCUCUGACAUUUUCAAGAUUACUACAUGUGAACGAGAAACGAUCUCUGCGAAAAAUUCUCAGUUCCUUUAGAAGUGCGGUGGUGCUUCUUCACCGAUGAUUGAAUUGGAUCCAUUUAUAAUAGACUCCUGCGGAGAAUUUCAACUAUUCUAGUGUUAAGUUAAGUUGAAAUAAAUGCCUGUGUUAAAAUUUUUCAAUGUUAUAGACUUUAUAGAAUCAAACUUGACGUAAAGUGUUACUAUUAUUUAUUUAUUUAUUUAUUUAU
rnacentral:lncRNA from 1 species